GGUGAACGCUGGCGGCGUGCUUAAGACAUGCAAGUCGAACGGGGAAGUUGUAGCAAUACGGCUUCUCAGUGGCGAAUGGGUGCGUAACACGUAGGUGACCUGCCCUGAAGUGGGGAAUAACAAUCCGAAAGGAUUGCUAAUACCGCAUGUGGUCCCGGGGGUUAGAGGCCUUGGGACUAAAGACGAAAGUCGCUUCAGGAGGGGCCUGCGGCCCAUCAGCUUGUUGGCAGGGUAAUGGCCUACCAAGGCGAUGACGGGUAGGGGACCUGAGAGGGUGACCCCCCACACUGGAACUGACAUACGGGCCAGACUCCUACGGGAGGCAGCAGUCGGGAAUAUUGCACAAUGGGCGAAAGCCUGAUGCAGCAACGCCGCGUGCGCGAUGAAGGCCUUCGGGUCGUAAAGCGCUUUUCGGGAGGAUGAGGAAGGACAGUACUCCCGGAAUAAGUCACGGCUAACUACGUGCCAGCAGCCGCCGUAA
rnacentral:rRNA from 1 species